rnacentral:rRNA from 1 species
GAUGAGCGCUAGCUACAGGCUUAACACAUGCAAGUCGAGGGGAAACGACAUCGAAAGCUUGCUUUUGAUGGGCGUCGACCGGCGCACGGGUGAGUAACGCGUAUCCAACCUGCCCACCACCUGGGGAUAACCUUGCGAAAGUAAGACUAAUACCCAAUGAUAUCUCUAGAAGACAUCUGAAGGAGAUUAAAGAUUUAUCGGUGAUGGAUGGGGAUGCGUCUGAUUAGCUUGUUGGCGGGGUAACGGCCCACCAAGGCGACGAUCAGUAGGGGUUCUGAGAGGAAGGUCCCCCACAUUGGAACUGAGACACGGUCCAAACUCCUACGGGAGGCAGCAGUGAGGAAUAUUGGUCAAUGGGCGAGAGCUUGAACCAGCCAAGUAGCGUGCAGGAUGACGGCCCUAUGGGUUGUAAACUGCUUUUAUAAGGGAAUAAAGUGAGCCUCGUGAGGCUUUUUGCAUGUACCUUAUGAAUAAGGACCGGCUAAUUCCGUGCCAGCCGCCACUGUAA